rnacentral:lncRNA from 10 species
UAAGCUUUUGUGUUUUCUGUUUGCUUUUUUAUGCAUAUAUUUUAGUUAUCUUAAAAAUACAGAGAGUGGGCCGGGCGCCGUGACUCACAUCUGUAAUCCCAACACUUUGGGAGGCUGAGGUGGGUAGAUCACCUGAGGUCAGGAGUUCCAGACCAGCGUGGCCAACAUGGUGUGAAACCCCUUCUCUACUAAAAAUACAAAAAAUUAGCUUGGCGUGGUGGCAGGCGCCUAUAAUCCCAGC